UACGAAGGGGGCUAGCGUUGCUCGGAAUUACUGGGCGUAAAGGGCGCGUAGGCGGACAGUUUAGUCAGAGGUGAAAGCCCAGGGCUCAACCUUGGAAUUGCCUUUGAUACUGGCUGUCUUGAGUUCGGGAGAGGUGAGUGGAAUGCCGAGUGUAGAGGUGAAAUUCGUAGAUAUUCGCAAGAACACCAGUGGCGAAGGCGGCUGACUGGUCCGGUUCUGACGCUGAGGCGCGAAAGCGUGGGGAGCAAACAGG
rnacentral:rRNA from 1 species